rnacentral:rRNA from 1 species
UGUAAAUUUAAUUGUUAAUCCAAAGGGGUACAGCUCUUUGGAAUAGGAUACAACCUUAAUUAGAGAGUAAGCACAAAUCAACAACCAUAGUUGGCCUAAAAGCAGCCAUCAAUUAAGAAAGCGUUCAAGCUCAACAAGUUCAUUUACCCAACUUAAUGUAAAAAAUAUACUCAAACUCCUAACACCAAACUGGACUAAUCUAUACCAAUAUAGAAGCAAUACUGUUAAUAUGAGUAACAAGAUUUAAAUCUCCUAGCACAAGUAUAUGUCAGAACAAAUACUUAACUGAUAGUUAACGGCCAGAUAAAUAUAAUCCAUUAAUAAAACAUUUAUUUAUUCACCGUUGACCCAACACAGGCGUGCACUCAAGGAAAGAUUAAAAGAAGUAAAAGGAACUCGGCAAACACAAACCCCGCCUGUUUACCAAAAACAUCACCUCUAGCAUAACUAGUAUUAGAGGCACUGCCUGCCCAGUGACAACUGUUAAACGGCCGCGGUAUCCUGACCGUGCAAAGGUAGCAUAAUCAUUUGUUCCCUAAAUAGGGACUUGUAUGAAUGGCCACACGAGGGUUUAACUGUCUCUUACUUCCAAUCAGUGAAAUUGACCUUUCCGUGAAGAGGCGGAAAUAUAAUAAUUAGACGAGAAGACCCUAUGGAGCUUUAAUUUAUCUACUCCAAUAGAACCACCAAUUUACCCACACAGGAAUAACACUCAAUUCUAACUGGAUAGAAAAUUUCGGUUGGGGUGACCUCGGAGCAUAAACCAACCUCCGAGAACUUUUACUAAGACUAACAAGUCAAAGUAUAACCAUAUUAAUUGAUCCAGUCUAACUGAUCAACGGAACAAGUUACCCUAGGGAUAACAGCGCAAUCCUAUUCUAGAGUCCCUAUCGACAAUAGGGUUUACGACCUCGAUGUUGGAUCAGGACAUCCUAAUGGUGUAGCAGCUAUUAAUGGUUCGUUU